rnacentral:rRNA from 1 species
UACGUAGGGGGCAAGCGUUGUCCGGAAUCAUUGGGCGUAAAGCGCGCGUAGGCGGCUCGAUCAGUCUGCUGUAAAAGUCAAAGGCUCAACCUUUGAAUGUCAGUGGAUACUGCCGGGCUAGAGUCCGGAAGAGGCGAGUGGAACUCCUGGUGUAGCGGUGGAAUGCGCAGAUAUCAGGAAGAACACCAACGGCGAAGGCAGCUCGCUGGGACGGUACUGACGCUGAGACGCGAAAGCGUGGGGAGCGAACAGG